UGAGCCAAGUUUAGGGUUUUCUCAAAACCCAAGCAGUAUUGAACUGAAGAGUUUGAUCAUGGCUCAGAUUGAACGCUGGCGGCAGGCCUAACACAUGCAAGUCGAGCGGAUGAAGGGGGCUU
rnacentral:rRNA from 1 species